GUGCUUACUUCAGUAGCAUAUAUACUAAAAUUGGAAUGAUGUAGAGAUUAGUAUGUCCCCUGCACAAGGGUGACAUGCAAAUUUUUGAUGCGUUCCGUAUUUUU
ensembl:snRNA U6 U6 spliceosomal RNA